CGCAUAUUUUGCCCAGGCGGAGCUCGACCGCCCACUGAGACGCUGAUCAGCUUUAUUGAUGAGCAUCGGGAGGCCUAUGGGGUCGAGCCGAUCUGCCGUUUGCUGCAGAUCGCCCCA
rfam:Kordiimonas lacus strain CGMCC 1.9109 genome assembly, contig: Ga0070197_101